UACUAAAAGGGGGAUAUGAGCUCCAUUGAGCCUAUCCACCUCAGCAAAUUAAAUCAGCCACUUAGAAUAUGAGUUUGUGCCAUGUCAACUCUCAAUAACUAUAAUCACAAGCCACAUCAUCUCAUCAGUUCACGUUCUUAGUUUCUUCAGCUUCCUCCUCCCAACGUAAGCAUUUAUCGCACACACAAAACUGGUUCGGUUUCUUCUCAUAUUUUGUAUUUAUAGGAGUCAUAGUUCUGUCUAACCCUAAUCCCAUGAGAAGCCUUCCUCUCCCCCGAGACAGUCAAGCCUACUCAACGUGAAAGAACAAAAUCAUUGUAGUAGCCAUUAUCUCUCCGGUCCUGAUCAUAUCCUUGAUAUAGAUACGUUUGUACGGAAGCAAUUGGAAACUUCAGGGCAAUACCUCGAACCCGGUCAGAAUCUUUGUAUUUGAUGGCUUACUGAUUCUCAGAAUCUUUACAAUAUUCUCUAUAUGUUUAAUGUUUGUAUGUAAGGUUACCUAAAAGCUUCAAUUUAUUUAUCCAUCUUCUAAUAUCUAGAUUUAAAAUAUGAUUUUUGGUUUGUUUCUAUAGUAACAAGUGUAUGGUCCAAGGUAGUUUCCAUAGCAGAAGGGUUGUAUGCUAGAUUCUCUGCUGCAUCAGUUUUUUUAGGUCCUUACAAGGCUGGUUCUUUUUUCUUUGUUGACACCUGCAAUAAGAAUCUUGACACGUUCGGUGACAAUCACUACUACGCACAGAAGGUGGAUACGAUGCACAGUUUGAUCAAAGUCCAUGGAGAUUGUUGUUAAGGAAACAAAUGAAGCUAAAAUGCUAAGAGCAGAGAAUAGUUGUGGCCAGAACCAGCCUUGAUCAAGGUGUUAACGCAGAAUUCUUAAGACUGAAUUGGAAUCAAGUAGAAUUUGUUUUGUAGAUAUGAAAUCACUCAGUUGUUGUAUUUGAUUAUAUUAUAGGUAAGAGUAAUAUCCCUUUGAGAAUUGGCUAGAUUGAUCAAGGAAAAACGUUUUUCAAGCCAGGGUUAGGAAAAACAUCCCUUUAGGUUGCACAAUAUAAAUGUAGUAUCAAUGAUGGAAAGGUGCUACAUGAUGUUUUUCUUUCAAAAAGACGCACCUCUAUUCGUACGGCAGCAACACGCUUUAGUUGCAGGAAAGUGUUGGUUAUUAUUCUCUUUUUUAUUUCCUUAAGGUUUUUUUGCUAACGAUUUGGUAAUAAGUUUAGUUUGUUCCUUAUGUUGAACAAAUGAAGGAAAAGUUGCUGCAAAAGAUUCAAAAACAGAGCAAAAACCAUAAAGGCCAAGUACAUGGAUGAUCUUUUUGGGGUGUGUACAGUACAUAAGUAGUAUGUAGUUGGAGACACGAUUUGGUUUAAAAUAUGACGUUGAAUGUUGUGGUUGACUCGAAGAAGUUAACUUUUGUGUUACAAACUUUCUCUUUAGUUAGAAGCUGCUAUAAUUUUUGGUUACAAUUUGCAAGAAAAAGUUAUGCCUUGUGGGAGUUGUGUUUUACAUUCUCCUAAAUUGUAACAGAUCUUCAGACAGAAUUAGUCGUUAGUUUCAUC